rnacentral:rRNA from 1 species
CCCUGUGUCGAAGCUGCUUGGUGGAUGACUAGGCUCAGGAACGCUGAUGAAGGGCGUGGCAAGCUGCGAUAAGCUCCGGCGAGGCGCACGCGGCCGUAGAACCGGAGAUCCCCGAAUGGGACUUCCCAUCAUACUCCCUCACGGAGGGGGAACCCCCUGAAUUGAAACAUCUUAGUAAGGGGAGGAAAAGAAAGCAACACGCGAUUCCGUCAGUAGAGGCGAUCGAAGACGGAAGAGGGCAAACCGAAUCCCGCUGCGAAAGCGGCGGGGGAUGUGGUCUGUGGGCCCGCCUGUCAGCCGUCGCGACAGAAGCCGAGAUGGACUGGAACGUCCUGCCGGAGAGGGUGAAAGCCCCGUAGGCGCAACGUCGCACGGCCUGGCGGCCGCCCCGAGUAGCAUGGGUCAGAAAUCCUGUGUGAAGCUGGGAGCCACUAUCUCCCAACCCUAAAUACGUCCUGAGACCGAUAGUGCAAUAGUAUCGUGAGAGAACGUUGAAAAGCACCCCUGUCGGGGGGUUAAAAGUACCUGAAACCAAGCAGUCACAACUUGUGGCGGCUCGAAAGAGUCGAGUCUCCCUGAAGGAACGGCCAGCAAUGGCCCUGUACGAGGGGAGAGGAUCAGAGUCGCCACGUCCGUCUUGAAACACGGGGCAGGGAGUUUGCGGUGGUGGUGAGGCUAAGUGGAUCAUCCACGCAGCCGUAGGAAACCCAACAGGUCCGCAGCCGUAAGGCGAGGGACGGGGUGUGAAAGUGCCCGCAAUCACCGCCGCAAGACCCGAAAUCGGUCGAUCUAAUCCGGGUCAGGAUGAAAUCUCUCGACAGAGGGAUGGAGGUCCGAACAGGUAUUGACGUUCAACUCAUUCUGUUGAACUCGGAUUAGGGGUGAAAGGCUAAUCAAGACCGAAGACAGCUGGUUCCGUUCGAAGUGGGCCGCAGUCCAGCCCUGCGCGAGGCGGCCGGUGGAGUAGAGCUACCGAUUGCGCGUUUAGGGGAAGAAAUUCCUCGGCGUGCUGUCGAACUCCGAAACCAUCGGCGUCGUAGACCGCAGGAGUCAGGGCAGUGGGGUAAACUCAUUGUCCGAAAGGGAUUCAACCCAGCCUGAAGUUAAGGCCCCCAAGUACUGGCUAAGUCAAAGGGCGUCGGUGGUCCAAGACAGCGGGAAGGUAGGCUUAGAAGUAGCCAUCCUUCAAAGAGUGUGUAACAGCUCACCCGUCGAGAUCACCGGCCCCGAAAAUGGAGGGGAAUCAUGCCAGUCGCCGAUACUUCAGAUCGCGAAAGCGCAUGGUAGAACGGCGUCCCGGUGGGGUAGAAGCAGCUCCGAGAGGAACUGUGGACCUGCCGGGAACGAGGAUCCUGCUAGUAGUAACAGCAUAGUACGGUGAGAAUCCGUACCACCGGAAGGGCUAGGAUUCCUCAGCAAUGUUCGUCAGCUGAGGGUUAGUCGAUCCUAAGGCACGUCGUAACGAGCGCGUGCCGAAAGGGAAGCAGGUUAAUAUUCCUGCACUGCGAGGCUACGUGCGGCAACGCAAGCCCGCUCCCUGACACAUCGGGGUAGGCCGCGCGGGACCGUCGUCCCGUUUAACCCUAUAAUGCUCGGGAGACACGUAAUGUGGAGAACGAGCAGAAAGGGGGAAUAGCACGGCAUUUUGUCGUGUGCGGCUCAUCCCUGGUGUCCGUGAAAAGGGGAGCGUGAAGGACGCUUCGCAUUCGUACUGAGAACUGACACAGGUGCCCCUAGGUGAGAAGCCUCAGGUGUGUUGGGGUAGUCCAGCUAAGGGAAUUCGGCAAACCGGUCCUGUAACUUCGGGAUAAGGGAUGCGCAUAGUCUUGUCAAAGGGACGAUGCGUCGCAGUGACUCGGGGGCCCCGACUGUUUAAUAAAAACGUAGCCUACUGCUAAUCCGUAAGGACUUGUAUAGUAGGUGAUGUCUGCCCAGUGCUGGUAUGUUAAGCCUGGUUUCAACCGGGUGAAGCACCAGUAAACGGCGGGAGUAACUAUAACUCUCUUAAGGUAGCGUAAUACCUAGCCGCUUAAUUGGCGGCUUGCAUGAAUGGCAUAACGAGGGCCCCGCUGUCCCUAGCUGGAACCCAGUGAACCUACUCCUCUGGCGCACAAGCCAGGGUCCCCCGACGGGAAGCGAAGACCCCGUGGAGUUUUACUGCAGUCUGCCGUUGUGGCACGACCCUGAUUAUGCAGGAUAAAUGGGAGGCGUCGAACCGGCCACGCCAGUGGCCGUGGAGCCGUCCUUGAGAUACCAUUUUUUCAGGAUUGUGUCACUCACCCUUUCGAGGGGACAUCGGUAGAUGGGCAGUUCGGCUGGGGCGGCACGCCCUUGAGAAGGUAUCAAGGGCGCCCUAAGGUCGGCUCAAGCGUGUCAGGAACGCGCUGUAGAGGGCAAGGCCAAAAGCCGGCCUGACUGGAUUUAGCCACGCAACAAAUCCAGAGGCGAAAGCCAGGCCUAGCGAACAACAAUGCCUUAGUAGUGAGGGCUUGUUCUGACAGAAAAACUACCCCGGGGAUAACAGAGUGGUAUCGGGCUAGAGUACCUAUCGACCCCGAUGCUUGCUACCUCGCUGUCGGUUUUUUCCAUCCUGGGUCUGCAGCAGGACCCAAGGGUGGGGUUGUUCGCCCAUUAAAGGAGAACAUGAGCUGGGUUUAGACCGUCGUGAGACAGGUUGGAUGCUAUCUGUUGGGGGUGUCGGAUGUCUGAGCGGAAGGUGGCCCCAGUACGAAAGGAACAGGCUGCCGUGGCCUCUGGUUUACCUGUUGUCUGACAAGGCAUCGCAGGGCAGCUACGCCGCAGGUGAUAAGAGCUGAACGCAUCUAAGCUCGAAGCAUUCCGCAAAAAGAGACAUCCAUUCUCCGGCACGCACGUCGAUCGUGCGAGGCGGGGCUGGCGACAGCAACGCCGCCGGGGACGAAGACCCAUGUAAAACACAUGGUCGAUAGGCUGGGGGUGUACGCAUCAAGCUUCGGCGAGAUGCUCAGCCCGCCAGUACUAAUCGUCUAAGGCAUGGG